rnacentral:rRNA from 1 species
GACAGAGGUGCCAAGCGUUAGGCGGAAUCACUGGGCUUAAAGCGUGUGUAGGCGGGCGAUCAAGUACCUUGUGAAAUCCCACGGCUCAACCGUGGAACUGCUGGGUAUACUGGUUGUCUUGAGCCAGCUAGGGGCGAGCGGAACAGACGGUGGAGCGGUGAAAUGCGCAGAUAUCAGGAGGAACACCGGUGGCGAAGGCGGGUCUCUGGGCCGAUACUGACGCUGAGGAGCGAAAGCGUGGGGGAGCGAACAGG